UGCCCAGGCGGGUGCCCAGGCCGGUGCCCCGGCCGGUACCCCGGCCGGUGCGGAGCGCUGCGGCCCGCCGGCCCCCGCCCCAGCCGGCCGGGAUCGGGACGGUCAGCGCCCCAGGACGUGCGGACGCGGGCGGCCGACGUGCACCCAGGUGCUCAGGGGAAAAGUGUUGAAAUCAACCGACGUCAUCCUUAAAUAUUAUUUCUUGGUUUUCGUUUGAAGUCAGUGACACAGAGCCCCCACGAUGCUCCAAGAGAGAUCCAUGAAGGCAGAAUCCAGUGAUUCCUGGCCGAUGGAAGAGCUAGCUCAGUGCCUGCACACAGUCAGACCUCAACAAAUGGGCAGUGACUGACCAGUUGAUAGUCACACUCACCUAUUCCCUGGGGCUUGGGCAUGUGCAGGCAACAGGACUGGGUCCGUGCAUUGGGCAGCGUCGAUACUCUGUGGGUGAUAUGCAGAGCCCCUUGCCUCCCACUGUCCCGAGUUCCUGACCUAAAAAGCAAGGAGUCUAGCUGCCAGAUUCCAUCCGAAGCCCCCUCCCUGCAAGCCCCCAACCUCCAUAGGAGAUGCACGCUGGUCGCGUCUCCACGGAUGGAUCACAAGUUGUCCUUGAUGUCACUGGAUCCAGACCUUCCAAAGGACAAGCCAGGCCCCUCCUGGGCCACACGGGUGGAGAGCCCACUCACUGUGGCAAAGCACAGUGCUGGGAGCUGGGGUUGUAGUGAACGGCAGUGGACUGCCGUGCGCUUUCGUCUCUGCUCCCAGUGCCUGAAGUCUCCCCCUGAGCUGAGAGCAGAAGGACAGAGCUGGCUGCCCCCAAAGGAAUGCCAUCAAGUGGCAAAGUCCCUGCUGCAGGAGGGGAACGUGGGACUGAUGGCGGCCCCGGGAGAGGUCCCCCACACCACCCUCUUCCAGCACUCCUGCCCCUUCUGGGGGACAUGCCUGGAGCUGGGUGGUCUCCUCCUUGGCACGCUCCCCAGUGGAGAGCCCACCAGCCUCUGCCCAGCCCCCAUCUUGCCCCACUCCAGCACGAAAUGGUGCACGAACCCAACACCCUCUACCCUCCAAGAGGGCAGGGUUCAUUCCUGUUUUGCCCAUCACUGUGCCCAGUGGUUUACUGGUAAAUGUUUAACUGUCAGCUGACUGAAAGAGCAUUUGGCUUCUCCGGUGGAAAUACUCCCCCCAUGGCAGUUUUCAGGCUCCCGAAGCGCAUCACUGAACAGAAGUUGGGAAAAGAUGCCACCCAUUAUAGGGUAUGUCUGCCUGCAGAUACGGAGUGCCAGGAUCACACCGCAAACAGUGGCUGAGGGGCCAGGUUCCCCUUGUGGCUGGCAAAGCAUAAAAUACCAUCUGGCCCUUUCACACAUUUGGAGACCCCUGCAAUAGACAUCACCUUCAGAACAGAGAUACUAAUAGAAAUAGAAUAAUUAGGAAGUGAUGAGUUCUGGUACCUUUUAAAAAUAUAAUUGUACAGUGGCUAACUGAACAUAAUAAAAAAUAUGUAUGUAUACAUAAGUGUAGCUUUAUAUCAUUUAAGCUUGUUUAGUGGCUGUUUGACAGCCAACUGGAAAAAUUGAAAAACCAACAAGCAGCUCUCCUGAGCCCGUGUAGGGUCAGCUCCAGUAAGCCUGUGUCUAGGGCCUGGCCCGGAGGAGAAACACAGCAUUGAAUAGCUGGAAAUCAAUGCCAACAUUCGAACUGCUAGGCCACACUGCCCUGCUUCCUUCCUUCCUUCCUUUUUUCUUUUGAUACCAUUAAACACCUACCUAUUUGUGCCUCCAGAGGGCCAAGGACUUUGCCAGGUUCCGUUGGUUCUUCUUUAUCUGCAGGGGAUACAUUCCAAGACCCCCACACAGAUAGUACCAAACCCCAUAUAGACUGUUUCUCCCCACACACAGAUACCUAUGAUAAAGUUUCAUUUAUAAAUUGGGCACAGUGAGAGAUUAACAACAAU